UUGAACGCUGGCGGCAUGCCUUACACAUGCAAGUCGAACGGUAGAGGGGCAACCCUUGAGAGUGGCGAACGGGUGAGUAAUAUAUCGGAACGUGCCCAGUCGUGGGGGAUAACGCAGCGAAAGCUGCGCUAAUACCGCAUACGAUCUAUGGAUGAAAGCGGGGGAUCGCAAGACCUCGCGCGAUUGGAGCGGCCGAUAUCAGAUUAGGUAGUUGGUGGGGUAAAAGGCCC
rnacentral:rRNA from 1 species